rnacentral:rRNA from 1 species
UACGUAGGAGGCGAGCGUUGUCCGGAGUUACUGGGCGUAAAGGGCGCGUAGGCGGCUCGCGAGGUCGGGGGUGAAAUCCCACGGCUUAACCGUGGAAGUGCCUUCGAUACCGGCGGGCUCGAGGAAGGUAGGGGUGCGCGGAACUUCUGGUGGAGCGGUGAAAUGCGUUGAUAUCAGAAGGAACGCCGGCGGCGAAAGCGGCGCACUGGAUCUUUUCUGACGCUGAGGCGCGAAAGCCAGGGGAGCAAACGGG